CCUGGCGGAGAUAGCGCGGUGGUCCCACCUGACCCCAUGCCGAACUCAGAAGUGAAACGCCGUAGCGCCGAUGGUAGUGUGGGGUCUCC
rnacentral:rRNA from 1 species